rnacentral:rRNA from 1 species
UACGUAGGGGGCAAGCGUUGUCCGGAAUCACUGGGCGUAAAGCGUGCGUAGGCGGUUUGUUAAGUCCGAAGUGAAAGUCCAUGGCUCAACCAUGGGAUUGCUUUGGAAACUGGCAGACUUGAGUACUGGAGAGGCAAGGGGAAUUCCACGUGUAGCGGUGAAAUGCGUAGAGAUGUGGAGGAAUACCAGUGGCGAAGGCGCCUUGCUGGACAGUGACUGACGCUGAGGCACGAAAGCGUGGGGAGCAAACAGG